rnacentral:snRNA from 1 species
AAUUGUUGAUGCUCUUUUAGUAUUUGUCUAGUAGGCUAACUAACGUUAGCCACU